UACGUAGGGUGCAAGCGUUGUCCGGAAUUAUUGGGCGUAAAGAGCUCGUAGGCGGUCUGUCGCGUCUGCUGUGAAAACUCAGGGCUUAACCCUGAGCUUGCAGUGGGUACGGGCAGACUAGAGUGCGGUAGGGGAGACUGGAAUUCCUGGUGUAGCGGUGAAAUGCGCAGAUAUCAGGAGGAACACCGGUGGGCGAAGGCGGGUCUCUGGGCCGUAACUGACGCUGGAGGAG
rnacentral:rRNA from 1 species